rnacentral:misc_RNA from 1 species
GAUGAAGAACGUAGCGAAAUGCGAUAAGUAAUGCGAAUUGCAGAAUUUCCGUGAGUCAUCGAAUCUUUGAACGCACAUUGCGCCCCUUGGUAUUCCGAGGGGCAUGCCUGUUCGAGCGUCAUUACACCACUCAAGCUAUGCUUGGUAUUGGGCGUCGUCCUUAGUUGGGCGCGCCUUAAAGACCUCGGCGAGGCCACUCCGGCUUUAGGCGUAGUAGAAUUUAUUCGAACGUCUGUCAAAGGAGAGGAACUCUGCCGACUGAAACCUUUAUUUUUCUAGGUUGACCUCGGAUCAGGUAGGGAUACCCGCUGAACUUAAGCAUAUCAAUAAGCGGAGGA